GGGCGGAUCCCAACUGAUCUCUAUUUCAUCCAUACCUUUUGACAAAUUAUUAGCACUAAAAUUCUCCACCUCAUCAGUACAGUAGUGGAUUUCAUUAAUCACUUUAAAUGGUAAUGACUGGUCAAGAUGCAGAAUUGCACUAUUUCUAGCAUUGCAAUUAUCUGCUUCUUUGGCUUGGAUGACAAAUUUUCUUGUAAUUGGAUUGAUACUGGUGACAUCAUAAGUUCCGGUAGGUACCUUAAAGUUAAGCUUUCCUGUGGAGUUGUUGCAGUAGAAAUUCAAGUACAUAGGAUCACCACAAUUUGAUCCAGUGCUUAGGGGAUAAGGAAUUAAGUUCGUGCCACAAGCUUCACAAUUUCUAGACGUUGAUUCAAUAUCGGACCUCGCUACACG
rnacentral:misc_RNA from 1 species